GAUGAACGCUGGCGGCGUGCUUAACACAUGCAAGUCGAACGAAGCACUUUAUUUGAUUUCCUUCGGGACUGAUUAUUUUGUGACUGAGUGGCGGACGGGUGAGUAACGCGUGGGUAACCUGCCUUGUACAGGGGGAUAACAGUUGGAAACGGCUGCUAAUACCGCAUAAGCGCACGGCAUCGCAUGAUGCAGUGUGAAAAACUCCGGUGGUAUAAGAUGGACCCGCGUUGGAUUAGCUAGUUGGUGAGGUAACGGCCCACCAAGGCGACGAUCCAUAGCCGACCUGAGAGGGUGACCGGCCACAUUGGGACUGAGACACGGCCCAAACUCCUACGGGAGGCAGCAGUGGGGAAUAUUGCACAAUGGGCGAAAGCCUGAUGCAGCGACGCCGCGUGAGCGAAGAAGUAUUUCGGUAUGUAAAGCUCUAUCAGCAGGGAAGAUAAUGAC
rnacentral:rRNA from 1 species